rnacentral:snRNA from 2 species
AUCGCUUCUCGGCCUUUUGGCUAAGNNCAAAGUGUAGUAUCUGUUCUUAUCAGCUUAAUAUCUGAUACGCCCCCUACCCGGGGGCCAUAUAUUAAAUUGAUUUUUGGAACAGGGAGUCGGAAUAGGGGCUUGCUCCGUCCACUCCACGCAUCGACUCGGUAUUGCAGUACCUCCGGGAACGGUGCACUC